rnacentral:rRNA from 1 species
UCUCAGUUCGGAUCGGAGUCUGNAACCCGACUCCGUGAAGCUGGAUUCGCUAGUAAUCGCGCAUCAGCCAUGGCGCGGUGAAUACGUUCCCGGGCCUUGUACACACCGCCCGUCAAGCCAUGGAAGCCGGGAGUGCCUGAAGUAUGCAACCGCAAGGAGCGUCCUAAGGUAAAACCGGUGACUGGGGCUAAGUCGUAACAAGGUAGC